AAGCUAUCUUGGUGACUUGUAAGCAACUCACUGUGCUUUGGUACUAGACUAUCCAAAUUUCUAAUUCGAUAAUGAAAGAUUUUUAGAUCCAAUCAAGUACUUAUAAAGUCUGAGUGUAAGUCAAGAUGAGAUUGACCGCUCUAAGUAAAAUUGGAGAUGAUGUAUCACAGUAUUUCAAUUCAGCAAAACUUUGACCAAAAUAGUUCUAG
rnacentral:lncRNA from 1 species